UAGAGCAAAGCAUUGAAAAUGCUUGGGUCACCGGUUCAAGUCCGGUUCCUGGCA
rnacentral:tRNA from 1 species